rnacentral:rRNA from 4 species
GAAUGCUGACAUAAGUAACGAUAAAGCGGGUGAAAAGCCCGCUCGCCGGAAGACCAAGGGUUCCUGUCCAACGUUAAUCGGGGCAGGGUGAGUCGACCCCUAAGGCGAGGCCGAAAGGCGUAGUCGAUGGGAAACGGGUUAAUAUUCCCGUACUUGGUGUUACUGCGAAGGGGGGACGGAGAAGGCUAUGUUGGCCGGGCGACGGUUGUCCCGGUUUAAGCGUGUAGGUGUGUGUUCCAGGUAAAUCCGGUUCACUUUAACACUGAGGCGUGACGACGAGGCACUACGGUGCUGAAGCAACAAAUGCCCUGCUUCCAGGAAAAGCCUCUAAGCAUCAGGUAACACGAAAUCGUACCCCAAACCGACACAGGUGGUCAGGUAGAGAAUACCAAGGCGCUUGAGAGAACUCGGGUGAAGGAACUAGGCAAAAUGGUGCCGUAACUUCGGGAGAAGGCACGCUGACACGUAGGUGAAGUGAUUUACUCAUGGAGCUGAAGUCAGUCGAAGAUACCAGCUGGCUGCAACUGUUUAUUAAAAACACAGCACUGUGCAAACACGAAAGUGGACGUAUACGGUGUGACGCCUGCCCGGUGCCGGAAGGUUAAUUGAUGGGGUCAGCGCAAGCGAAGCUCCUGAUCGAAGCCCCGGUAAACGGCGGCCGUAACUAUAACGGUCCUAAGGUAGCGAAAUUCCUUGUCGGGUAAGUUCCGACCUGCACGAAUGGCGUAAUGAUGGCCAGGCUGUCUCCACCCGAGACUCAGUGAAAUUGAACUCGCUGUGAAGAUGCAGUGUACCCGCGGCAAGACGGAAAGACCCCGUGAACCUUUACUAUAGCUUGACACUGAACAUUGAGCCUUGAUGUGUAGGAUAGGUGGGAGGCUUUGAAGUGUGGACGCCAGUCUGCAUGGAGCCGACCUUGAAAUACCACCCUUUAAUGUUUGAUGUUCUAACGUGGACCCGUAAUCCGGGUUGCGGACAGUGUCUGGUGGGUAGUUUGACUGGGGCGGUCUCCUCCUAAAGAGUAACGGAGGAGCACGAAGGUUGGCUAAUCCUGGUCGGACAUCAGGAGGUUAGUGCAAUGGCAUAAGCCAGCUUGACUGCGAGCGUGACGGCGCGAGCAGGUGCGAAAGCAGGUCAUAGUGAUCCGGUGGUUCUGAAUGGAAGGGCCAUCGCUCAACGGAUAAAAGGUACUCCGGGGAUAACAGGCUGAUACCGCCCAAGAGUUCAUAUCGACGGCGGUGUUUGGCACCUCGAUGUCGGCUCAUCACAUCCUGGGGCUGAAGUAGGUCCCAAGGGUAUGGCUGUUCGCCAUUUAAAGUGGUACGCGAGCUGGGUUUAGAACGUCGUGAGACAGUUCGGUCCCUAUCUGCCGUGGGCGCUGGAGAACUGAGGGGGGCUGCUCCUAGUACGAGAGGACCGGAGUGGACGCAUCACUGGUGUUCGGGUUGUCAUGCCAAUGGCACUGCCCGGUAGCUAAAUGCGGAAGAGAUAAGUGCUGAAAGCAUCUAAGCACGAAACUUGCCCCGAGAUGAGUUCUCCCUGAGACUUAGAGUCUCCUGAAGGAACGUUGAAGACGACGACGUUGAUAGGCCGGGUGUGUAAGCGCAGCGAUGCGUUGAGCUAACCGGUACUAAUGAACCGUGAGGCUUAACCUUACAACGCCGAAG